rnacentral:rRNA from 1 species
AACGAACGCUGGCGGCAUGCCUAACACAUGCAAGUCGAACGAGACCGUCGGGUCUAGUGGCGCACGGGUGCGUAACGCGUGGGAACCUGCCCUUAGGUUCGGAAUAACUCCCCGAAAGGGGUGCUAAUACCGGAUAAUGUCUUCGGACCAAAGAUUUAUCGCCGUUGGAUGGGCCCGCGUUGGAUUAGCUAGUUGGUAGGGGAAAAGCCUACCAAGGCGACGAUCCAUAGCUGGUCUGAGAGGAUGAUUAGCCACACUGGGACUGAGACACGGCCCAGACUCCUACGGGAGGCAGCAGUGGGGAAUAUUGGACAAUGGGCGAAAGCCUGAUCAAGCCAUGCCGCGUGAGUGAUGAAGGCCUUAGGGUUGUAAAGCUCUUUUACCCGGGAUGAUAAUGACAGUACCGGGAGAAUAAGCUCCGGCUAACUCCGUG